AUUGAACGCUGGCGGCAGGCUUAACACAUGCACGUCGAGCGAGCGGCGGACGGGUGAGUAAUGUCUGGGAAACUGCCUGAUGGAGGGGGAUAACUACUGGAAACGGUAGCUAAUACCGCAUACCAUCAGAUGUGCCCAGAUGGGAUUAGCUAGUAGGUGGGGUAAUGGCUCACCUAGGCGACGAUCCCUAGCUGGUCUGAGAGGAGGACAAGCGAGACUGGAACGGAGACACGGUGCAGACGGCUACGGGAGGCAGGAGUGGGGAAUAUUGCACAAAGGGCGAAAGACGGAUGCAGCAAUGCCGAGUGUGGGAAGAAGGGGUUAGGGUUGAAAAGCACUUUCAGCGAGGAGGCGUUACUCGCAGAAGAAGCACCGGCUAACUCCGUGCCAGCAGCCGCGGUAAUUC
rnacentral:rRNA from 1 species